UACGUAGGGUGCAAGCGUUGUCCGGAAUUAUUGGGCGUAAAGAGCUCGUAGGCGGUUCGUCGCGUCGGCUGUGAAAACCCGAGGCUCAACCUCGGGCCUGCAGUCGAUACGGGCGGACUGGAGUUCGGCAGGGGAGACUGGAAUUCCUGGUGUAGCGGUGAAAUGCGCAGAUAUCAGGAGGAACACCGGUGGCGAAGGCGGGUAGCUGGGCCGACACUGACGCUGAUGCGCGAAAGCCAGGGGAGCGAACGGG
rnacentral:rRNA from 1 species